ensembl:lncRNA
AAGCUUCUAAAGAUUGGCUUGAGAGCCUGCUGCUCUUUCAGUCUGAGUUUGCACAGCCAGGUACUACUUCAUCAGUGACCCUGGAGAGUAACAAAACAAAUAAAAGCCCGAACCCAAACCCUGUCACCAUCAUAGGUCUAUAAUUACUCUGGAAUCAGCUAGCCAUGGCAUCAAAGAAAUUUGCUGUUAAAUGUGGGAAUUUUGCUGUCCUGGUGGAUCUUCACAUAUUACCGCAAGGUUCAAACAAAGAUACCAGCUGGUUUUCUGAACAGAAGAAAGAGGAAGUCUGUUUACUGUUAAGAGAAACCAUUGAUUCGAGAGUGAAGGAGUACUUAGAAGUUCGUAAACAGCACAGGCCGUCAAAUGCAGAAUUCACGAGAUCCAGUCCCUUGUCCUUAAAAGAACUCCGUGUAUUUCCCGACAGAUUUGUGGUCUGUGUAAGUCAGCUUGCCUUCAGUCGUGACCUUUUGGCAAGUCAGCANNNNNNNNNNNNNNNNNNNCAGGAAGAGUUGGUAUGUAUGAAUAUAUUCUGUGAGCAAAUAGGUCUUCUUGAAUGAUAAGUUAUUGUAAAAAAUAGAAAAGGGAAUUGUCUUCUGUUCUUGUUCAGCUGUUGAGCACUCAGUGCAUGUUUUUAGAGACCAGAAAUGCCCUACUUAUUUUGCAUGAUGAUAUUGAUUAACUGAUAUGUCUUUCUCCUGAAGACCUCUUGAAAAUUUAGUGUGAUCAGUAGUCUCUCUUCUGUAUCAAUAUAAAAUGAGAAAACACAUAUCAGAAAAACUGUGAAAGUGCUUAUGAUAGUAUUUCAAUGAUAUGUAAAGCAAAAUCAAUGAAGCAAAAUCCACAUGUUUCCACUGGAAGCUCUCAUUGGGGUCAGUGGCUUUUGAAUUUUGUUCCAUGGUGAAUCACUGACAUUUUCAUGAGAACCAGUACUUUUCCCCAGUGUGUUAUUUCUUAGCUGAUAGGGUUUGUUCUGUCGGUCUUUUCUCGUGCUAAGUCUUGAGCUCUGUCAGGUCCUAUUUCUGUUUCGUUGGAGUUCUCUAUUCAGACAAAUAGAUACUGAAAAUGCACAUAUAAUGUUCUAGCUUACAGCUUUGUCUUUUAACAUAUACAUUUGACUGUGUGUGUGUGUGUGUGUGAGUAUUGCUGCAGUCAUAGCCCAAUCUAUCUGAACUUACCUGUCUACCAAUUUUUUGUUUCCACAUUUUUGGGCACAUGACUUGAAACUUUAACAAAGAGGGGAAAAGAAAUCCAGCAGACAUUAAACCUGGACAUGAAGUAUGACAUGAUUAUUAUGCUUCUAAAAUAAUUUAUGAGGAUAUUAGAUUAUCCCUUAUGUUUAUUAUUUUUUAAUCCAUAUGAAAUUUGAAAUUUGGCCCAAAUGGUCUAAAACCAGCUUCUUAUCUCAUCUUAAAUAAAUACAUAAGAAAAGUGUAGGGUGAACAGAGACACAGGACGAGUAAAGAGCAGAGAAUUCACAUGUACCUUUAGAUACCUUCCUCUGGAUCAGACAAGCCCUUCAGAAAAGCCAGUGGGAACCUUAUUUCUUCAUCUGUCAAUUAAGUUCUCAGUAUACACAUUAAAUGAAAUAGAUGAAGCCAAUCUGGUGAAAAGUUUUAAAAGUUUACUUUUGAAGUAUUUCUAGCAUGUUGAGUUAUCUUAGCAAAUUAAUAAAUCCGAAAGCAGUAAUGCCAUUGGCAAACAACUAUAAUAUAAGAUAGCUUAACUGAUUCUCAGACCGAUGAAGAAAUUGAUUUGUGGUUUGAGAAAACAACAAUGAAUUGUACCAGAAAGUAUUAUUGUUUUCAGAUGCAAGGCAGAAGAAAUUAGAUCUUGUGUGAGAUGCAGUAUUAACACUUAAUAUUUUAAAUUAUUAAGGCCGACUCAAAACAUUUCAAUGCAAAUGAAAUCUUAUCCUCCUUUGGGGUGCCGGUAUUUAUACAGAUGUAAGUUUUCUAUAGCUGCUGUCAUAUAAAUCCUAUAAUUUGGAAGAUUUCCUAAACGUGAAAAAUUUUCAUUCUGAAAAGUUGACUGGCCUUUUGCAUAAGCCGGUUCAGUUUUCUUAUCUUCAAAAUGUUCUGAUAUCCAAUGAUAACACUGUCAGAGUUCACCAAGUUAGCUUGUGAGAAGAAUGCCAUUUACUUCACGGGCAUCUUUCACCCUUUGCAUGUUCCCUCUUUAAAUGUGGUUAGUCUCUGGAGCUGCCCUCUUCCACCUCUGACCAUCCUUCACAGACAGGCUUUCCCGCCCACAGAUACACCCGUCACCUACCACCCAGCCCUGACGCAGGCUUCCGCCCCUUCUGCGUGCCCUGCCCCCCUGUGCCUGGCCCACCUGUGCCCCGCCCCUCCACACAGGCCUUGUGCUGGUUCUCCCAGAAACAAUAGCACAUCCACGUCACGCAAAGGGCCACCUCUCCCACCAACAGCCCAUCCAGCCAAGGCCAUCAUCCUUCCACCACAAGUGCCUCACUUAUAUUUGACCUCUGCAGAGCCCUCCAGUCUUAGCCUUUUAAGGAUCAAUAAACAGCCCUUGCAUCCCAGAAUUGCCUUCUGCUGGACAGAAGGCAUUCUUACUCCCGGUAUACACUUUAGAUGCCCAGAGCCAGAGAUGUCUGGCUCUCCUCUUGAACUUCCUUAUAUUCCUGAAUAUUUCAUUUUCUUUCAUCAGUUUACACUGAUAGUCGCCAAAGGGCCGAAUCCAUCCCAUUUUCUCAUGGUGGUUAUGCUCCAGGAACGUCUGGCUGGGCAGGGCCUGGGAAAUGGGCUUCCUGAGUGGCUGUAUUGGAGAUACUUCUUUGACAUAAACUUCAAUUAUUUUUUUUUUUCCUAUAACUGUUUACUUAACUCCGUCUCCCAGCCACGGAAGUGAUGGGGGCACGGGGAGGGGUGGGGGUGGGUGGGGGUGAGUCAGUACCUAGGCAACUGCCUUGGGCGCAUUACUCGUGCUGUAGCCUUGAGUAGCAGAUUCUCUUUUCCUCCCCCCCCCCCUUCCUUUUUCUUUUCUUCUCUUUUCUUUUUGGAUCUUCAGUGUCUAAGUGACAAUUGGCUAGGAAAUCUGGGAGUGCCUAUUCAGAGCCACUCUGCCUGGGCUUCUUUCAGCCUGGACACAAGGAAGCCAGCUGCUCUCGGCUCCCUGGUUCCUAAAGGUGGCCGCACAAAAGAACCGCUGUUCCAGAUCGGACGGCACAAAGGAAGUAAUCCCCCUCCUCUGGGGGCAGAGCAAGUGCAGCCACGCAGCCCCCCCAACUUCCCCAGCACCAGGGAGGUCCAUCACCCCCCUUGCAUGGAGGGGCUCCGAGCAGGGAGAUGCCCAGUGUUGCAAUAGCCCUGCACCGAGUGCCCACGUGCCAGGGAUGUGGGAAUCAUGAUGUGUACUUUGGGAGGAAAGGGCAUUAUUAUAAGAUGAGUCACUGUAUUUUUCUUACUAUAGUUUCUCAUAAGAAAUCUGAAAGCCUGUGUCGCCUCAGUGAUUGACCUCUUGCUAGAAAAGGAGCUGGGAAGGGUUUUUGUGAGUUUUUACCUUCAGUCUCAUAGUUUCGCUUCCCCUCACCCUCUUUUCCUUAGCUGAGCAGAAAGUAAAUUUGUAUUGCACUCAGUAUUUCCCAUUCAGGCAAUGUUUUCCUUUAUGUUUACAAACCCAAGUCCCUGUGUAAAGACUGCUUUCUCCCUCAGAUGCCAAGCUGGGGGUGGGUGAGGGGGAUGGGGAGGCUUUGGGAACUUCAAAAUUACAUAUUAUUUUUAUUGUUCCUUUCUUAAAGGAAAUAACCAGUGUUAACUCAGGUCAUAACUUUACUUUCCAGAGUAAUAACUUUAUUGUAUAAGUAACCACAAAGGUCUCCAUCUAUCUGAGAUUUUUGGGAGUCAGCACAAAGCUGCUGUCUCCUAGAACAUUGGUUACAGCCACUCCUAGUCCCUAGAGACCCUCCCCAUCUGUUCUUGCCAUCACAUUUUAAAAUAAUUUGCUGAGUGUUGGCUCUGUGCCAGGGGCUCUGGUCGGCCUUGGGAAAACAAAGAAAAAGAAGAACGCAUUCUUGCCCUCAAGGAGCUUACAGUCUGGCAGAUCAAGGGUACUAGAAGUUACCCUGGUGACCUAAAAGUUGUAAUUGAAAUAGAACUUCCAGAGUUCCCAUCGUGGCGCAGCGAAAACAAAUCCAACCAGGAACCAUGAGGUUGCGGGUUUGAUCCCUGACCUCGCGCAAUGGGUUAAGAAUCCGGCAUUGCCAUGAGCUGUGGUGUAGGUUGCAGACACGGCUUGGAUCUGGCGUAGGCCGGUGGCUACAGCUCCAAUUAGACCUCCAGAAAGUCCAAAAUUCUGAGUUCCUUUCUUACUUUUAAACCUAAGCUUUAAAAGUCUGUGAUUUUUUUGGAAAUUAGAAAACGGCGUUUAGUCCUGUGUAAAGAUGGAAAUAUAUAUUAUGACAUUUGGGCUUUUCUGCCUCACCUUGAUUUUGAGUCAUGGCUAAGCUGUGAGAACAGCUGUCAAGAUUCUGCAGACAGGAGUUUCUAUUGUGGUGCAGUGGAAACAAAUCUGACUAGUAAACAUGAGGUUGCUGGUUCGAUCCCUGGCCUUGCUCAGUGGGUUAAGGAUCUGGUGUUGCUGUGGCUGUGGUGUAGGCCAGCAGAUGUAGCUUGGAUUUGACCCCUAAUCUGGGAACCUCCAUAUGCCGCAGGUGCGGCCCAAAAAAGAAAAGAGGAUCCUGCAGAUGUACCCUGGCCACAUAGUGCUGGGCUCUGGCUGCAGCAUCCUCUCAGCAGAAGGAUUGCUGGCCAGCCCAACGAGAGACAAUAUUUAAGUGCUAAAUCGAACACUUCUCUGAAGUCAAACU